rnacentral:rRNA from 1 species
AGCAUGUGGUUUAAUUCGAAGCAACGCGAAGAACCUUACCAGGUCUUGACAUCCCGAUGCUAUUUCUAGAGAUAGAAAUACUUCGGUACAUCGGUGACAGGUGGUGCAUGGUUGUCGUCAGCUCGUGUCGUGAGAUGUUGGGUUAAGUCCCGCAACGAGCGCAACCCCUAUUGUUAGUUGCCAUCAUUCAGUUGGGCACUCUAGCGAGACUGCCGGUAAUAAACCGGAGGAAGGUGGGGAUGACGUCAAAUCAUCAUGCCCCUUAUGACCUGGGCUACACACGUGCUACAAUGGUUGGUACAACGAGUUGCGAGUCGGUGACGGCGAGCUAAUCUCUUAAAGCCAAUCUCAGUUCGGAUUGUAGGCUGCAACUCGCCUACAUGAAGUCGGAAUCGCUAGUAAUCGCGGAUCAGCACACCGCGGUCGAAUACGUUCCCGGGCCUU